UCACAAGCCAUGGAGCUGGGGCAGGU
rnacentral:piRNA from 1 species